rnacentral:tRNA from 1 species
GGGGUUGUGGCUCAGUGGUAGAGCACUUGCCUAGCAUUCAUGAGGCAGUGAGUUAGAUUCUCAGCACCA